GAUGAACGCUAGCUACAGGCUUAACACAUGCAAGUCGAGGGCAGCGGGAUUGAAGCUUGCUUCAAGUUGCCGGCGACCGGCGCACGGGUGAGUAACGCGUAUCCAACCUUCCGUACACUCAGGGAUAGCCUUUCGAAAGAAAGAUUAAUACCUGAUGGUAUCUUAAGCACACAUGUAAUUAAGAUUAAAGAUUUAUCGGUGUACGAUGGGGAUGCGUUCCAUUAGGUAGUAGGCGGGGUAACGGCCCACCUAGCCUACGAUGGAUAGGGGUUCUGAGAGGAAGGCCCCCCACAUUGGAACUGAGACACGGUCCAAACUCCUACGGGAGGCAGCAGUGAGGAAUAUUGGUCAAUGGACGAGAGUCUGAACCAGCCAAGUAGCGUGAAGGAUGAAGGUCUUACGGAUUGUAAACUUCUUUUAUAAGGGAAUAAACCCUCCCACGUGUGGGAGCUUGUAUGUACCUUAUGAAUAAGCAUCGGCUAACUCCGUG
rnacentral:rRNA from 1 species